ensembl:lncRNA TPT1-AS1 TPT1 antisense RNA 1
UACUCUGUGACCCACGCUGGAGUGCAAUGGCACCAUCACGACUUACUGAAGCCUCCACUUCCCGGGCUCAAGUGAUUCUCACACCUCAGCCUCCUGAGUAGCUGAGACCACAGGCUCCGGUAGAUUGCAAAUGACCUGCUUUCUUUCUGUUCCCGGGCGUUUGGACCCCUGUCUUGGACCGCUGUCGGAUAGUAAAUCCCAAGUAAGGUACCUGCCGUCGGCAGAUUUGAGCUUUCUUCUUGGACACCUAAUACCCAGAGUCCUCCAGGCUCCGGUAGAUUGCAAAUGACCUGCUUUCUUUCUGUUCCCGGGCGGCAUCGGACCCGUCGGAGAGUAAAUCCCAAGUAAGGUACCUGCCGUUGGCAGAUUUGAGCUUUCUUCUUGGACACCUAAUACCCACAGUCCUCCAGGCUCCGGUAGAUUGCAAAUGACCUGCUUUCUUUCUGUUCCCGGGUGGCAUCGACCCGUCGGAGAGUAAAUCCCAAGUAAGGUACCUGCCGUUGGCAGAUUUGAGCUUUCUUCUUGGACACCUAAUACCCACAGUCCUCCAGUAAAUCCCAAGCAAGGUACCUGCCGUCAGCAGAUUUGAGCUUUCUUCUUGGACACCUAAUACCCACAGUCCUCCAGGCUCCGGUAGAUUGCAAAUGACCUGCUUUCUUUCUGUUCCCGGGCUGCGUUCGGACCCCUGUCGGAUAGUAACUCCCAAGUAAGGUACCUGCCGUCGGCAGAUUGGAGCUUUCUUCUUGGAGACCUAAUACCCACAGUCCUCCAGAAAAACAAACAAAGACAUGGAUUUACUGUGCAUAUUAGCAGAUCCAUACUGGAAAAUGCAUGGAGGUUUCAUAUACACCACUUACAGGUUUCCAAAGCCACAAUUUCCUUCAUAUGUUCAAACUCUUCAGGAUGCAGAAAGGCAGUGAACUCCUCCGGAGUAGCUGUCAGGUCACCAUUGAGGUCUGCAGCUUUGAAUCUUCUCUCAUCACGUGGCAGCAUCUUUUUAAAGGUGUGAUGAUCUGAAGAAUCAUGAAACUCUGCGGGGUUUCCUAGGUUUUCAGCUCCUCAGUAGUGACAAAGCCAUACCCAUCAUUGUCGAUUCGAUCAACAAUCUUCCCUAGCCUCUCCUUGCUCUCGUCCGGGGUGAGCUCGUCGAAGUUCUUGGAGUCCUCCUUGCCCAGGAAGGCCUCGUGGUCGUACUGGAAGCUCUGGUUGUCCUCAGGGGGCCGCUCGCCCAGCUCCGAGUCGGGCCGCACCACGCGCUCUUUGCGCACCGUGGGCUUGGCCCGCAGAACCCGCGGCGCCAGCACCAGCGCCAGCAGCAGCCCCAGGGCUAACCCCAGGCGGCCACCGCGCGCCAUCGUCCCGAGGAGAGGGCGGCCGGGAGGGAGACGCUGAGCGAGCGACAACAGCGGCAGCUCGGGAAUGGGGGCUCGGAGCGCGGCGGCCAAGUUUUAUGUUAUGUAUAUUUUACAAGUAAAAAAAUUUUUUCACCUCAGCCUGAACUGAACACUAGCUGACAGACGUUUUGAUUUCUUUGACCAUCACGGAAUCGUGGCCAAGCGCGGUGGCUCACAUCUGUAAUCCCAACACUUUGGGAGGUCAAGAUGGGCGGAUUGCUUGAAUCCAGGUGUUUGAGAUCAGCCUGGGCAACAUGACAAAACCCUGUUUCUAGUAAAAAUACAAAAAUUAACCAGG